rnacentral:rRNA from 1 species
GGGUAACGGGGUGUUAGGGCACGACACCGGAGAGGGAGCCUGAGAAACGGCUACCACAUCCAAGGAAGGCAGCAGGCGCGCAAAUUACCCAAUCCCGACAUGGGGAGGUAGUGACAAUAAAUAACAAUACAGGGUUCUUUUGGAUCUUGUAAUUGGAAUGAGUACAAUUUAAAUCUCUUAACGAGGAACAAUUGGAGGGCAAGUCUGGUGCCAGCAGCCGCGGUAAUUCCAGCUCCAAUAGCGUAUAUUAAAGUUGUUGCAGUUAAAAAGCUCGUAGUUGAAUUUCGGGAUCAAGGAAUCGGUCAUGCCUCGGUAUGUACUGGUUUUAUUGGUUCUCACCUUCUAAAGAACCAUAAUGUCAUUUAUUUGAUGUUAUGGGGAAUUAGGACUGUUACCUUGAAAAAAUUAGAGUGUUUAAAGCAAGCUUACGCUUGAAUACAUUAGCAUGGAAUAAUGAAAUAGGACAUCCGAUUCUAUUUUGUUGGUUUCUAGGAUCGAUGUAAUGAUCAAUAGGGAUAGUUGGGGGCAUUAGUAUUCAAUUGUCAGAGGUGAAAUUCUUGGAUUUAUUGAAGACUAACUACUGCGAAAGCAUUUGCCAAGGAUGUUUUCAUUAAUCAAGAACGAAAGUUAGGGGAUCGAAGACGAUCAGAUACC